rnacentral:piRNA from 1 species
UGAGACUAUCAGUUGUUCCAAGAGCUGCGC